GGGCCCGCACAAGCGGUGGAGCAUGUGGUUUAAUUCGAUGAUACGCGAGGAACCUUACCAGGGCUUAAAUGCAGUAUGACAGAUUUGGAAACAGAUUUUUCUUCGGACAUAUUGCAAGGUGCUGCAUGGUUGUCGUCAGCUCGUGCCGUGAGGUGUCAGGUUAAGUCCUAUAACGAGCGCAACCCCUAUUUCUAGUUGCCAGCACAUAAUGGUGGGGACUCUAGAGAGACUGCCGGUGCAAACCGUGAGGAAGGUGGGGAUGACGUCAAAUCAUCACGGCCCUUACGUCCUGGGCUACACACGUGCUACAAUGGUAGGGACAGAGAGCAGCCACUUCGCGAGAAGGAGCGAAUCUACAAACCCUAUCUCAGUUCGGAUCGCAGUCUGCAACUCGACUGCGUGAAGCUGGAAUCGCUAGUAAUCG
rnacentral:rRNA from 1 species